GGAGGGUGCAAGCGUUAAUCGGAAUUACUGGGCGUAAAGCGCACGCAGGCGGUUUGUUAAGUCAGAUGUGAAAUCCCCGGGCUCAACCUGGGAACUGCAUCUGAUACUGGCAAGCUUGAGUCUCGUAGAGGGGGGUAGAAUUCCAGGUGUAGCGGUGAAAUGCGUAGAGAUCUGGAGGAAUACCGGUGGCGAAGGCGGCCCCCUGGACGAAGACUGACGCUCAGGUGCGAAAGCGUGGGGAGCAAACAGGGAUUAGAUACCCUGGUAGUCCACGCCGUAAACGAUGUCGACUUGGAGGUUGUGCCCUUGGGGCGUGGCUUCCGGAGCUAACGCGUUAAGUCGACCGCCUGGGGAGUACGGCCGCAAGGUUA
rnacentral:rRNA from 1 species